GGAUUAGAUACCCUGGUAGUCCACGCCGUAAACGAUGUGUGCUAGUUGUCAGGGGCUUAGCCCUUGGUGACGCCGCAAACGCAUUAAGCACACCGCCUGGGGAGUACGGUCGCAAGAUUAAAACUCAAAGGAAUUGACGGGGACCCGCACAAGCGGUGGAGCAUGUUGUUUAAUUCGAAGCAACGCGAAGAACCUUACCUACACUUGACAUCCCGAUCGCGGUUACCAGAGAUGGUUUCCUUCAGCUCGGCUGGAUCGGUGACAGGUGCUGCAUGGCUGUCGUCAGCUCGUGUCG
rnacentral:rRNA from 1 species